CAGCAGUGGGCAGCUCAUUGACCACAGAUCCACGAGGAAGUAACAGAGAGAGCUUUGACUUGACCAACUGCACACCCAAACCAGGACAACUAGGAACCAGCUGCGUGUUCAUCAUCCCCAUGCAGCCAACUCUCGGAUCCAGCUUCAGAACCUGUCACCGAAGAAGGCCUUGCUGGUCCAGGUCAAUCUCCACAAUGUAUCUUCUGUUCUCUACAAAGACAGGCUCCAGGCUGUCAUUUUUGACUACAGCCAGAAGAGGCUGGAAACAGGACCCAGGGUUCCAGAGCUCCAGACGAGUGCCUCACAGAGCUACCUCUCUGAGCCCCCAGCCUGGGCUGGGCAGGGGAGGUUAAGGCUGGAGCUGCCUUGGCAGUUAGUGUUGGUCUUGCAGUUUCCAAAGGCCUUAGGAGUUCCUGGAGCAAAUGUUUCCUCUCCUAAGAACACUGUAGCAGAUUAAGGAAGGGGCGUGUCCCCACAGUAGCAUUAAAGAGCAGCAUCCAUUACCAAUGGUGGUCUAGCCUGGUAGCUAGAAUAACUCUCCUAGAGUUGAGCCUGUGUGAGGAUCUGGCUCUCCCAGCCCUGCUGGCCACAAGCUUGGCCAGGUU
rnacentral:lncRNA from 1 species